rnacentral:lncRNA from 1 species
CCCAAAACGAGACAGAAAGAGCAAAAUCCUUCCUGUGGUGGAGCUGCUGUGGGAGGAGAGCUCUUGCCUUCUGGAAGAGGAAGCAACCUUUGCAGCUGUGAAACCUGAGAGAACAAUGGAGGUUGUGUAGACCAGAAGUUACAGGGGGCUGCUCUCAGGGCUUGAUGCCAGAGAUGUCCCACAGCAGCAAUCUUUUCUCUGUAAUAAAUUCUAAACUUCUCUUGACCUUAUUGCUGCAUUCUGGGCUGAAAUACAUCUGAACAACUGAUGGGAGGCUGAAUUUGAACUCAGCUUUUUAUUCCUGCCUUAGCCAUGCAGUGGAAGAACAUCUCAUACCACACCCUCCAUCUUGCUGUUGUGAAUUAAGUUGCUUUUUCAAGUGGUUCCUCACAUGCAGAUAUGUGCAAAAAUUGGAACUGAAUUAUUACUUUGUCCUCAGAGAAUUAAAACCUUUAAAAAUGCCUGCUUCUUGCCAAAUGAGACGUAAGAUCCUGAUUUACACCAUCAGUUUUCUAUACAUUGCAAGACAAAGAAAUAUUAAAAAAAGGAAAAGCCAAGGAAUAGUGUUAGCAGAAUCAAGACAAAUUGAAUUUAUCAUUGACAAAGGAAGAGGUAGGUUGUAACUGAUG